rnacentral:tRNA from 1 species
GACUCGUUAGCUCAGCGGUUAGAGCAGCCCGUCUGAAACAUGGUAGAGGUGGUCGGGGGUUCAAAUCCCUCACGAGUCG